UAUUCUGUUCUCCAGUAUCCAGCGCUGGCUCUCUAGCUCUACUGAAAAGAAGAGGAGGCAGCGGCAGUUGUGACCGGCAGGCGGCGGCCAUGCCCAUCUGUUGCGGCAUCGUGGAGGCGACUGGUCGCGGCGUCUUUGAGCGGACCGACUAGCGGCGGUGGCAGCUGUGCCCCUUGGUGGCUGCUGCUUCGAGUGGAGCGACCGACUGGCGGCGUUGGCUGCUUCGGAGAUCCUCGUUCGGCGAGAUCCGUUGGUGGCGGCCCCCUCCUCCGUGUAGAAGGCUCAACGCCCCCUGUCGUGUGCCACCGGCGACCUCCCUCCCCCAAGUCGCUCCCGUAGCGCGACUAGGAGACGGACCACAACACGUACGACGAUGAGGAGGACGACGCCCACAACCACGCGCACGCUCAGCACGACGGAUACCACUCCGUUUGCGUCUGCAGGAUGUUACUCACUCCAUUUUUGGAAUGUAUAAUCUGCACUGAUUGCGGCAUCUGACCCAUGUGAACUUUGCUUUAUGAGAGGAACUGAUUAGACAAUGCAACCAGGAUAGUUGCAGUUUUUUUUUCCAAGCUGCAUGUCUAGUUUCUGUAUGAGAGGUGACCUUCCUACUCUAAAUUUGAUCUCUUGUACAUGCAAGUAUCUCUUGUAUGAGCUAUUCAACAUAGUCAGAUCGCUGGGCUCUUGAUUCCAAUACUCCAGAUUAGCCAUUUAAUUUGAAAACAGUGAACAAACAUGAUUAUCUUGUAUAAUGCUGCUCCUAUGUUUCUUUCAAACAAAUAUUUCAUGCA